UACGUAGGGUGCUAGCGUUAAUCGGAAUUACUGGGCGUAAAGUGUGCGCAGGCGGCCGAGCAAGUCGAGUGUGAAAGCCCCGGGCUUAACUUGGGAAUUGCGCUCGAAACUACUUGGCUGGAGUGUGGCAGAGGAAGGUGGAAUUCCAGGUGUAGCGGUGAAAUGCGUAGAGAUCUGGAGGAACACCGAUGGCGAAGGCAGCCUUCUGGGCCAACACUGACGCUCAUGCACGAAAGCGUGGGGAGCAAACAGG
rnacentral:rRNA from 1 species